rnacentral:lncRNA from 13 species
AUGAAAAGGUGAAGCCACACAGCACAAUGCACUUAGAACCCUGGCUUGGCGAUCCCAUCUAAUUAGACCAGCAUUGGGCAAGCAGGAUUGAGAACCAGUUAUGAUAUUUGCCUACUGACUUGGUCCCUGAUGCAGGCUUUGUCUCUCUGGAUAUAAACAAAACACCAGAAGAGCUCUGUCAUCCCUCCCAGGAACUUCUUCCAGUGGAGCCAACCAAAUUUUCUCACCUAAGGUUUUGGAAUCAAGACACAAGCCUCGCUGGUGCUCAAGGGAACGCCCUGAAACCCAUGAACCCACCAGAGUUGAGAAUGGGAAAAGAUGAGAUUCUGCAAACCCAAGUUAGUCCCUGUGCCUUGUUUUCAAGCUUUAGCUCUUUAAAAAAUGUUCUGGGCACUACAAGUGGAUUCUGAAGCAGAGGUUAGCUAUAUAGUUCAGGAGGUAGGCUGGAAUUUGCCAUUUGUACAGUAAAGCAGCAGAAAGUUUUCUUGUGCGCGCGCGCGCGCGAGAGAGAGAGAGAGAGAGAGAGAGAGAGAGAGAGAGAGAGAAAGAGAGAGUUGUUUCCUUAAAAUAAAGGAGAUCCCCCACCCA